rnacentral:rRNA from 1 species
UACGGGGGGAGCAAGCGUUGUUCGGAUUUACUGGGCGUAAAGGGCGCGUAGGCGGCCACCGCAAGUCGACUGUGAAAUCUCCGGGCUUAACCCGGAAAGGUCAGCCGAUACUGCGGGGCUAGAGUGCAGAAGGGGCAACUGGAAUUCUCGGUGUAGCGGUGAAAUGCGUAGAUAUCGAGAGGAACACCAGUGGCGAAGGCGGCUCACUGGCCCGAUACUGACGCUGAGGCACGAAAGCGUGGGGAGCGAACAGG